CUAUAUAAUAAUAUUUGUAUUUUGCUUCUUUAAUUUUAUUUGUAUAAUACACAUUGUAUUUCCAGCUAUAUAUAUGUCUUUGAACAUUGUCCUCUGUGUUUCAGUGUUAGCUGUGGUAUAUUGAAAAUUUACAAACAUUUGUGUAUUUUGAUAAUGAGGAAAAUUUGUUUUCUGAAAGGCAUUCCUUUGUUUGAAUUUUAAACUAUAAUGUUUAAAUCUGUUCUUCUUUGUUUGUGAUUUUGUGUAAGUUUAUAUGGUUCAGUCUUAAUUAGUUAUGGUAAUUAGUUGUAUUGAAAUUUUACACACUUCUGAGUUAUUUGAUUAUGAAUGAAAUUUUGUUUUUGAAAGACAAUUUUGUAUUUAAAAGUUAAAGCUUGGUUUGUGUGUAACUUAUAUUAAUUUUUGUACACAAGUGUCUGUGGGAAAUUAAUAUAAUUAUUUCAAAAUAUUGCAAAUAAACCCGAAUUAUCAAUU
rnacentral:sRNA from 1 species